rnacentral:rRNA from 1 species
GAUGAACGCUGGCGGCGUGCCUAAUACAUGCAAGUCGAGCGAACAGAUAAGGAGCUUGCUCCUUUGACGUUAGCGGCGGACGGGUGAGUAACACGUGGGUAACCUACCUAUAAGACUGGAAUAACUCCGGGAAACCGGGGCUAAUGCCGGAUAACAUUUAGAACCGCAUGGUUCUAAAGUGAAAGAUGGUUUUGCUAUCACUUAUAGAUGGACCCGCGCCGUAUUAGCUAGUUGGUAAGGUAACGGCUUACCAAGGCAACGAUACGUAGCCGACCUGAGAGGGUGAUCGGCCACACUGGAACUGAGACACGGUCCAGACUCCUACGGGAGGCAGCAGUAGGGAAUCUUCUGCAAUGGGCGAAAGCCUGACGGAGCAACGCCGCGUGAGUGAUGAAGGUCUUCGGAUCGUAAAACUCUGUUAUUAGGGAAGAACAAAUGUGUAAGUAACUGUGCACGUCUUGACGGUACCUAAUCAGAAAGCCACGGCUAACUACGUG